AAAAAAAAAAAAUAUCCCAACAAUACUAUGUUUAUAAUUUUUAUCAGUUAUUUAGUGUUGUUGUUGUUAUUAUCAGAUGCCAAUUCUGCCAGGUAUUAACAACGCAUCAACAAUAACAACCUAAUAUAACAAUCAUUUUU
rnacentral:misc_RNA from 1 species